rnacentral:rRNA from 1 species
ACUCAAAGGAAUAGACGGGGGCCCGCACAAGCGGUGGAGCAUGUGGUUUAAUUCGACGCAACGCGAAGAACCUUACCUGGGCUUGAACUACUCGUGGUAAGCCGUAAGAAACUAUGGCUGACCCGCAAGGGAGCGAGCAGAGGUGCUGCAUGGUUGUCGUCAGCUCGUGUCGUGAGAUGUUGGGUUAAGUCCCGCAACGAGCGCAACCCCUAUCUCAUGUUGCUAAUCCCGCAAGGGAUGCACUCUUGAGAAACUGCCUUCGAUAAGAAGGAGGAAGGUGGGGACGACGUCAAAUCCUCAUGGCCCUUAUGUCCAGGGCAACACACGUGCUACAAUGGUCGGUACAACGGGAAGCAAUACCGCAAGGUGGAGCAAAACCCUGAAAGCCGGCCCCAGUUCAGAUCGUGGGCUGCAACUCGCCCACGUGAAGGCGGAAUCGCUAGUAAUCGCGAAUCAGCAGGUCGCGGUGAAUACGUUCCCGGGCCUUGUACACACCGCCCGU